UGAACUGGGAAGACCCCGGGGCCUGGGGCCUCCACCCACCCCUGGGGUGAACUGGGAAGACCCACCCAAGGAGUCCCCGAAGGGUAUUGGUCUUGUCACAAGAAAUUCAAGGACAGGCGUGCAGCACGACCAGCCACACAAGUGGGAAAGUUUAUUAAAGGGAAAAGUAGGAUCUCGAGACACCAGAGCAGGCGGCUCGAGAGAGAGACAGAGACAGAGAGGACAGCCGCCAGCCCCGAGGGGUUGGGUUCCCCUCCCCCAUGUUUCACCGCCGGUUGGGAACCGGGGGACAGAAUGUUCAGGACUCGGGGCUGAUCUCCCACGUUUCCUCCUCUCUUGCUCAGAGCCUCCCGUGCUGGCACCGCCACCCAGGGCCCGUCCCGUCCGUGAGACUUGGAGAUAGUGAGGCCUGCGGUGUAGAUAACGGGCAUCCUGUCUCAAUGGGAAAAUGUCUGUGACUUCUGCUGGUGACGGAACCACAGACGCUCCUGACGGUGGUUGGCUCCCUACGUUCCUAGGUUAAGGGUACAGCCAGAUUUCAGCUCCAGCUCGGAGAUCUGAAAGGUGCAAAUGUUCACCAGUCCCCAAGGUUUCUUUCGGGGAACCGGGGUAAAGCCGAUCACAUGAAGUGUUGGAGGGACCCCAAAAUGAAUCAGCAUGGAGCCCAUGGCUUCAGGCAUUUUUUAAUUCACUUUUCGACCGAGGUACAGUUGACGAAUACUGUGUUAGUUUCAACCGCCCCACGUAGGGACUCGGUGUCUGUGCACCUUGUGAAAUGAUCGCUGCCAUUGUGUGGCCAACGUCUGUCAUUUUACACAGUGACAAAAAACCUUCUGGGUGAUGAGCAUGUUCAAGAUUUACUCUCUUAGCAAAACUGGCAGCUGUGUAAUAGAGUAUUAUUGACUGUAUGAACUUCGCUUACUUAUGCAUCGAACUAAAUGUGUAAUCCGCUAUGUACUAAAUAAAUAACAUAUCUGCA